CAGCAAAGUGUUGCUUACGUUGCUUACAUAAUUCGCACUUAAGCAAAAUCUCGUCGUUUUUCGUAUAAGGUAGAGUGAGCGAAAAUGAGUAUCCCUCAAUUUUUUAACAAUUUUAAAGAGGAUUUCAUGUGAUAGCGAACAAUCAUCGAAUUCUCUUUAAACAAAGGCAAGGCCAAUCUAUUUUUUCAGUUCUGGCAUCAUUCUGGAGUAUAUUUAAAUGCCAAUGCGAAGAAAAUAUCGAUAACGCGGAAAGCUUAACGCGGAAAGCCGACAACUAUCGAUAAUUAUCGAUAGGUUCCCACACAGGCAGGGCCUAAUAAGCAGCCGGUUCAAAUUGGUUGAAUGUAACGGUGACCAGCUGUCACGUCUUGUCUUAGGCCAAUACAACAGCGAUACCUACUUUUUGGUCGUCCGAGUUUACAUCAAUAUUUUUUAUAAUGUCUGGAUCCUCGACUACUGUGAGCACAAGCGUAAAUUCUUACGGAAAUGAUCGAAAUGAUGUGGAAUAUGCAAAUGAAGGAGGAUUUUUCCAUGCUGAUUAUAAAAAGCAUGAUGAUCUCAAACAAAUGCUGGAUAGUAAUAAGGAUAGCUUGAAACUGGAAGCAAUGAAACGAAUAAUUGGAAUGAUUGCCAAAGGCCGAGAUGCUUCAAAUUUGUUUCCUGCAGUCGUGAAAAAUGUUGUUUCAAAAAACAUUGAAGUAAAAAAGCUUGUUUACGUAUAUCUGGUUCGCUAUGCUGAAGAACAACAGGAUUUGGCACUGCUUUCGAUUUCUACGUUUCAAAGAGCUUUGAAGGAUCCAAAUCAAUUGAUUCGUGCUAGUGCGUUGAGGGUACUCUCGAGCAUUCGUGUCACAAUGAUCGUACCAAUUGUUAUGUUGGCCAUUCGAGAGUCUGCAUCAGAUAUGAGUCCUUAUGUUCGUAAAACAGUAGCUCAUGCAAUACCCAAGCUCUAUAAUUUAGACCCGGAUCAAAAAAACGAGUUGACUAUCGUAAUAGAAAAGUUACUAUCUGAUAGAACCACUCUUGUUGUAGGAUCAGCUGUAAUGGCAUUUGAAGAAGUUUGCCCAGAACGUACAGAUUUGAUUCAUAAAAACUAUCGUAAGUUUUGCAAUUUAUUAGUUGACGUCGAUGAGUGGGGACAGGUAUUAAUCAUCAACAUGUUAACGAGAUACGCCAGAACCCAGUUCGUAGAUCCAAAUAACGAUAUUGCCGAAAAGGACAACGAGGACAACAAAUCGUUUUACGAAGAUUCUUCAUCCGAAACUGAAAAUCAGAUGAAACGGACAUCUCCUCGAAAAAAAUAUGGUUUGGAUAUUGACCAUCGACUUCUACUACGGCAAGCAAAGCCGCUGCUACAAAGUCGUAAUGCCUCCGUUGUGAUGUCCGUCGCACAGUUAUACCAUCACAUCGCUCCAAAAGAUGAAGUUACUGUUGUUGCCAAGGCAUUGAUUCGACUUUUAAGAAGCCACAAUGAAGUGCAAAGUAUUGUGUUGUCUUGCAUUGCAGCAAUGUCUGUUGAAAGAAAAGUCAUUUUUGAACCACAUUUCAAAUCAUUUUUUGUUAGAACAAGCGAUAAAACGCAUAUCAAGCUAAUGAAAUUGGACAUUCUGACAUAUUUAGCAUCAGCAAGUAAUAUUCUUAUUAUUUUACAAGAAUUUCAGACUUAUAUUAGCAGCAACGAUAAGGAAUUCGUUGCACAUACUAUACAGGCUAUUGGGAGAUGUGCAACGUCAAUAACGGAAGUUAAGAAUACAUGUUUAAGCGGACUGGUUUUUUUGCUGUCAAACAAGGAUGAAAAUGUUGUCGCAGAAAGCGUAGUUGUUAUAAAACAACUGUUGCAAACACAAACGGAGGAUCAUUUCGAAAUAAUAAUUCAAAUGGCUAAACUUCUUGGUUUUAUUCAAGUUCCGGCUGCGCGGGCAUCAAUUCUCUGGCUUAUUGGAGAAUAUAAUCAUAAGGUGCCACACAUUGCUCCAGAUGUCUUACGUAAAUUGGCUAAAUCUUUUAUUAGAGAGAAAGAUAUCGUUAAGUUGCAAAUUUUAAAUUUGGCUGUAAAGCUCUAUCUUACGAAUCCAAGGCCGACUGAAUUACUAAGAAAAUAUGUGUUCAAUUUAGCUAGAUACGAUCAAAACUAUGACAUCCGAGAUCGAGCAAGAUUUUUGAAACAGUUUGUAAUUCCAGUCAACGAAAAGCAGAAAAAAAUGCCGCGAAUUGCUCGAGAUAUAUUCUUAAUGGCUAAAAAAGCUCCGUCGCUUAAUAAUAAAUACCAAGUUAGCAGAGGAUUUCAGCUUGGGUCUCUUUCCCAUUAUUUAAAUCUUAAAGCUCAUGGUUAUCAGGAUUUACCACCAUUUCCAAAAAUCGCACCAGAUAACUCUGUUCGUAAUGUGGAAUUAUCAUUAGAAUAUAGCAAGUUGCUUCAUUCCACGCAAGCGGAAAAUAUAUCCAAACUAUCUUUAAUCGACGCUGCAAGAGAAACAAGGCGCGACAAAGCAAAAUUGUUUUAUUCAUCUGAAAAAAGUUCUGAAGACUACGGUGAUUCCGAUUCAAGUACUACUUCCACUUGUUCUUCAGAAUCCUGUUCAAACUCUGAUUUGAUAAGUGAUUGUCUAUCUAGCAAAAAGGACGGCGAAAUUAAAGACCUAGGAAUCACUGCAAAAAAUUCCGAUUCGUCCAACUCAAACAGUGAGAGUAACAUUAGUGAUACAAACAGCACCAGCAGUAGAACUUCUGAAAACACUUCAAGCCAUACUGAGGAUCGCAAUAGUUUUGCAAAAUGCAGUCCGAGGUGUGAAACCCAUGUCAAGCAUAUACACACGAUGAACGCCAAGACAUUGCAACAAAACAAUUUAGAUUUGCUUUCCAACCUGGACGAUAUCCCACCAGUAGGGCCUAUUAUGACACCAUCACUCGGUGGUAUCUCAACUGCCGAAACAACUUUUGACAGUUACGAAGAUCGCGAUAUGGUUGGCUCUAAUUUUAUAUCUGCUAAAUUUAUUGAGUUACUGAACAAGGUGAACGGUUUUGGUUUAAGGAUCACAUACCGUUUCAUUCGUACGCCACAUUAUUUUUCAACUAAAAUGGUUUCUGUUGAGCUCAUAAUCACUAAUCAUGGGAACAUGGAAAUUACUGAUAUACAUGUCGGAAAAAAAAAUCUGCAAGCAGAAAUACACUUGUGUGAAUUUCCUCCAAUUCAAUCGCUAAACCCUAAGCAAUCAAGAACCUGUAUAUUGGGUUUAGAUUUUAAUGAUUCGACACAGCCUGUAAAUUUCGAAAUUAUAUCUAGCAGUGGGAGUAGUAGCGUGACUCUUAAAGCUCCAAUCGGUGAGCUUAUCCAAUCAAUUUUAAUAUCAGAGUCUCUUUUUGUCAAAGAACGAGUUAAACUAAAGGGAAUGACUGAAAGCUCUUGUUCCUUUCAACUAAAUGAAAAUUUAAUUUUUGCGAAGAGCUUGUUACAACAACGGAUUUACGAAGUAACAAAUGUGGCUCACAUUCAAUGCAGUGAAAAGAACCGAAUGUAUUUUGCCGGGCAAACAAUGAGCUCAAAAAGUAUUGUAUUGAUAAUGCUGCUGGUGGAAGAAAGUGGUGCUUGUACUCUCACGGUAAAUUGUGACAAAAUGGUUAUAGGAUCCAUCCUUCUCAACGAAAUUAAAUCUAUGAUUAAACAAUAAAGAAACAAUUUGUUUACACACACACAGGAACACAGACCCUUUCGCACACGCUGUAUCAAGCUAUAACACGACAACUACCUAUGUUAAAUAAAAUAAAUUGCUCAAGGAAUUAAAAAUUUGAAUAAGUUCUUCUGUACUUAACGGUUUGAAAUGAAAAUGAAAAUCUUGACUCCAGUGGAAGUGGAGGCGGCAAGCAGGACAAGCAUUAUCGAAUCAACCGACCAGUCAUCAUUCAAAGCCCAUCGGCUGUCGGAAUCCAAAACUAGAACGAUUAGAGGGAUGUGUUGAUUUGAUUGUUUGUUAAACUAUUGACUGAAAAGGAGGGAACAUUUUUUCGAGAAGAUCGGUUACCGGUGUACUUACAGUUUAUCGACAGUAUGUGACAAAUUAUAAACCAUGCACAGGAGCGUUGAAAUUCAACAAAUGUCUUUAGAACUGCGGAAUCCAUCUGGUUACUUACAGGAACAUUUGAGCGUUUCAUAUUUUUGAUAAGAUUAGUUUUAUUGAUAAGGAUACUUUUGAAUGAUUUUCCAAACUGGUUUGUUUUUUUUUUCCUGCGAAUAAACAGAAUGCGUUUUCUUUUUCAU